GUCACAGUCAUCAAGGCAGUAAGCAGAUCUCACCAUGGUCAGUAAGGUCACAGUCAUCAAGGCAGUAAGCAGAUCUCACCAUGGUCAGUAAGGUCACAGUCAUCAAGGCAGUAAGCAGAUCUCACCAUGGUCAGUAAGGUCACAGUCAUCAAGGCAGUAAGCAGAUCUCACCAUGGUCAGUAAGGUCACAGUCAUCAAGGCAGUAAGCAGAUCUCACCAUGGUCAGUAAGGUCACAGUCAUCAAGGCAGUAAGCAGAUCUCACCAUGGUCAGUAAGGUCACAGCCGUCAAGGCGGUAAGCAGAUC